UAUUUUGGAUUGUAAAUUGUUUUUCUACCUAAGUAUUAUGAAUGUAUUAGUUUAAAAUUUAAAGGACUUGGCGGUGUUUUAGACUUUUUAGGGGAACCUGUAUUUUAAUCGAUGGUCCUCGUUUUACCUUACCUUUUUUUGUUUUCAGCUUGUAUACCGUCGUUGUCAGUUAACUUUGUAGAAGAUAUAAGUUGUCUUGUAAAAUUUAAUUUUGGAUGUCAGAUCAAGGUGCAGUUUAUGAAUAGGUUAAUGUUGGUUACGUUUAUUUAAUUAUAUAAGGAUAAUGAUUUGAAAUUAUUGUUUGAAAGAGAACUUAAAAGUAAUUUAAUUUAGAUAUAUUUAGUGAAUAUGGCUCUGAGAUGUGCACACACCGCCCGUCACCCUCA
rnacentral:rRNA from 1 species